rnacentral:rRNA from 1 species
UACGAACUGUGCGAACGUUAUUCGGAAUCACUGGGCUUACAGGGUGCGUAGGCGGCUUGUUAAGUAGGGUGUGAAAGCCCCCGGCUCAACCGGGGAAUUGCGCCCUAAACUGGCGAGCUGGAGUGAGAUAGGGGUGUGUGGAACUUCCGGUGGAGCGGUGAAAUGUGUUGAUAUCGGAAGGAACGCCGGUGGCGAAAGCGGCUUCCUGGUCCGACACCGACGUUCAUUCAC